CCUACGGGUGGCAGCAGUGGGGAAUAUUGCACAAUGGGGGAAACCCUGAUGCAGCGACGCCGCGUGGAUGAAGAAGUAUCUCGGUACGUAAAGCUCUAUCAGCAGGGAAGAAAAUGACGGUACCUGACUAAUAAGCCCCGGCUAACUACGUGCCAGCAGCCGCGGUAAUACGUAGGGUGCAAGCGUUAUCCGGAUUUACUGGGUGUAAAGGGAGCGUAGACGGCAGCACAAGUCUGGAGUGAAAUCCCGGGGCUUAACCCCGGAACUGCUUUGGAAACUGUGCGGCUGGAGUGCAGGAGGGGUAAGCGGAAUUCGUGGUGUAGCGGUGAAAUGCGUAGAGAUCAGGAGGAACACCGGUGGCGAAGGCGGCUUACUGGACUGUAACUGACGUUGAGGCUCGAAAGCGUGGGGAGCAAACAGGAUUAGAUACCCGGGUAGUC
rnacentral:rRNA from 1 species